CAGAAAAGUAUUUUGUGUUGGGAAUUCCGACCGGUGAUGUUCUGAUACUUGCUCAUAGGAGGGCCAAGCACACUAAGACAUGGUAUUUAACGUGGUUCGGCAAAACCGCCUACAUCCACGGGAAAAGUCAAUAUAUU